UUUACCACCAACGUCAACGUUGAGCAAAGUUCCAUCGCAUCAGGAAUAUCAGUUGAUAUUGUCUAGGAUGUACUUUUGGAAUUCAACUUUAAAGUUAAUCUCUUAAUCUUUGCCUUUUGUGCAAAAGGUGGUUUGUAUCCAGUAAAUAAGGAAGACAGAAGUAGUGGGCAGCAAUAUCAUGGUACAGGGUAACUACUGUUGAUAUAAUGCCUUCUUCCAUUCUAUAGCUUCUUUACAUUUAGAUCUUAGGGAAAAAUGAUCACUAACCACAGACUUUGUACUUUUUAACCUCAGGAGACUGAGGCUGACAGCUCCAAAUUCCAAGAUGAUAAGUAAAGGAUUUAUAUUAGCUUCUAUUUGUAACUCACUAUUGAUGGUUUUACAUGGUUAUGAAAUAAGUGCUAUGGAAUCUGAUGCUACUAUGAAAAACUAGGGCAUCUAUGUGAAGGCUGUGGAAGCUCUGUUGUUACUCUUCUUGUGACAGCAUUAUUGAUAUAAUUCAUAGACGGUAUAAUUCAUUGAUUUAAAGCAUAUAUUCUAUAGUUUUUAGUAUAUUCACAGAGUUGUGCAACCAUCACCCCUAAUCAGUUUUAGAACAUUUUCACCACCCCAGAAAGAAAUCCCAUAUGCUUUAGGCCAUCACCACCAAUCCUUUUAGCCUCUUAGCCUCUGGCAACCAGUAAUCUACUUUCUAUCUUUAUAGAUUUGCCUAUUUGGACGUUUCAUAUAAGUCGACUCAUGAAAUAGGCCCUUGUUCUUAAUCCAAUAAUUUGUGGAAGACUCAGCCUCCCAACACAAACAUGGCCUCCAGAUCAGAAUAAAACAUGUUUACGAAACAAUUCUGCUACCUUGUUCUCUCUGGCUCAGCACUGAAGGAAGGGUUCCACCAUAGGUGUGACAAGUAUCGCUGGCUUCAGAAAAUGCUCUACUAUCAAGCUAACUGGUUUCCUGAAUUUGAAUGAGAUAAAACUACUAGUAAUUUUGAGCUCACUGAAAACUGUUUCUAAAUUGUAAAAUUUAGGUUGGGGGCCUGCUUCAUUCUUCCCAAGCC